rnacentral:rRNA from 1 species
GGUAAACGCUGGCGGCGUGCCUAAAACAUGCAAGUCGAACGCACCCCUAUCCAGGGGUGAGUGGCAGACGGCUGAGUAACGCGUGGGUGACCGACCUCGAAGUGGGGAAUAACUGCCCGA